CCGAAUGGGGAAACCCAGUGUGAUUCGUCACACUAUCAUUAACUGAAUCCAUAGGUUAAUGAGGCGAACCGGGGGAACUGAAACAUCUAAGUACCCCGAGGAAAAGAAAUCAACCGAGAUUCCCCCAGUAGCGGCGAGCGAACGGGGAGGAGCCCAGAGCCUGAAUCAGCAUGUGUGUUAGUGGAAGCGUCUGGAAAGGCGCGCGAUACAGGGUGACAGCCCCGUACACAAAAGCGCAUGUGCUGUGAGCUCGAUGAGUAGGGCGGGACACGUGGUAUCCUGUCUGAAUAUGGGGGGACCAUCCUCCAAGGCUAAAUACUCCUGACUGACCGAUAGUGAACCAGUACCGUGAGGGAAAGGCGAAAAGAACCCCGGCGAGGGGAGUGAAAAAGAACCUGAAACCGUGUACGUACAAGCAGUGGGAGCNNNNNNNNNNNNNNNNNNNNNNNNNNNNNNNNNNNNNNGGGCGUUAAGUUGCAGGGUAUAGACCCGAAACCCGGUGAUCUAGCCAUGGGCAGGUUGAAGGUUGGGUAACACUAACUGGAGGACCGAACCGACUAAUGUUGAAAAAUUAGCGGAUGACCUGUGGCUGGGGGUGAAAGGCCAAUCAAACCGGGAGAUAGCUGGUUCUCCCCGAAAGCUAUUUAGGUAGCGCCUCGUGAAUUCAUCUCCGGGGGUAGAGCACUGUUUCGGCUAGGGGGCCAUCCCGGCUUACCAACCCGAUGCAAACUGCGAAUACCGGAGAAUGUUAUCACGGGAGACACACGGCGGGUGCUAACGUCCGUCGUGAAGAGGGAAACAACCCAGACCGCCAGCUAAGGUCCCAAAGUCAUGGUUAAGUGGGAAACGAUGUGGGAAGGCCCAGACAGCCAGGAUGUUGGCUUAGAAGCAGCCAUCAUUUAAAGAAAGCGUAAUAGCUCACUGGUCGAGUCGGCCUGCGCGGAAGAUGUAACGGGGCUAAACCAUGCACCGAAGCUGCGGCAGCGAACGUAUCACCCAAGACAACUUUACGGAGUUGACGAUUGACGGAGCGAAGCGACGUCAAAGCGUUCAUUAAAGUCGAGUUGGCUUAGGGAUACGUUCGUUGGGUAGGGGAGCGUUCUGUAAGCCUGUGAAGGUGUGUCGUGAGGCAUGCUGGAGGUAUCAGAAGUGCGAAUGCUGACAUAAGUAACGAUAAAGCGGGUGAAAAGCCCGCUCGCCGGAAGACCAAGGGUUCCUGUCCAACGUUAAUCGGGGCAGGGUGAGUCGACCCCUAAGGCGAGGCCGAAAGGCGUAGUCGAUGGGAAACGGGUUAAUAUUCCCGUACUUGGUGUUACUGCGAAGGGGGGACGGAGAAGGCUAUGUUGGCCGGGCGACGGUUGUCCCGGUUUAAGCGUGUAGGUGUGUGUUCCAGGUAAAUCCGGUUCACUUUAACACUGAGGCGUGACGACGAGGCACUACGGUGCUGAAGCAACAAAUGCCCUGCUUCCAGGAAAAGCCUCUAAGCAUCAGGUAACACGAAAUCGUACCCCAAACCGACACAGGUGGUCAGGUAGAGAAUACCAAGGCGCUUGAGAGAACUCGGGUGAAGGAACUAGGCAAAAUGGUGCCGUAACUUCGGGAGAAGGCACGCUGACACGUAGGUGAAGUGAUUUACUCAUGGAGCUGAAGUCAGUCGAAGAUACCAGCUGGCUGCAACUGUUUAUUAAAAACACAGCACUGUGCAAACACGAAAGUGGACGUAUACGGUGUGACGCCUGCCCGGUGCCGGAAGGUUAAUUGAUGGGGUCAGCGCAAGCGAAGCUCCUGAUCGAAGCCCCGGUAAACGGCGGCCGUAACUAUAACGGUCCUAAGGUAGCGAAAUUCCUUGUCGGGUAAGUUCCGACCUGCACGAAUGGCGUAAUGAUGGCCAGGCUGUCUCCACCCGAGACUCAGUGAAAUUGAACUCGCUGUGAAGAUGCAGUGUACCCGCGGCAAGACGGAAAGACCCCGUGAACCUUUACUAUAGCUUGACACUGAACAUUGAGCCUUGAUGUGUAGGAUAGGUGGGAGGCUUUGAAGUGUGGACGCCAGUCUGCAUGGAGCCGACCUUGAAAUACCACCCUUUAAUGUUUGAUGUUCUAACGUGGACCCGUAAUCCGGGUUGCGGACAGUGUCUGGUGGGUAGUUUGACUGGGGCGGUCUCCUCCUAAAGAGUAACGGAGGAGCACGAAGGUUGGCUAAUCCUGGUCGGACAUCAGGAGGUUAGUGCAAUGGCAUAAGCCAGCUUGACUGCGAGCGUGACGGCGCGAGCAGGUGCGAAAGCAGGUCAUAGUGAUCCGGUGGUUCUGAAUGGAAGGGCCAUCGCUCAACGGAUAAAAGGUACUCCGGGGAUAACAGGCUGAUACCGCCCAAGAGUUCAUAUCGACGGCGGUGUUUGGCACCUCGAUGUCGGCUCAUCACAUCCUGGGGCUGAAGUAGGUCCCAAGGGUAUGGCUGUUCGCCAUUUAAAGUGGUACGCGAGCUGGGUUUAGAACGUCGUGAGACAGUUCGGUCCCUAUCUGCCGUGGGCGCUGGAGAACUGAGGGGGGCUGCUCCUAGUACGAGAGGACCGGAGUGGACGCAUCACUGGUGUUCGGGUUGUCAUGCCAAUGGCACUGCCCGGUAGCUAAAUGCGGAAGAGAUAAGUGCUGAAAGCAUCUAAGCACGAAACUUGCCCCGAGAUGAGUUCUCCCUGAG
rnacentral:rRNA from 1 species